rnacentral:lncRNA from 1 species
GUUCCGAGUGUGGCUUUAUUUUUUCCUCACAUCUUGGAGCUCCUUGUGGAAGUAUGCUGCUGAGUGCUGGAUUUCAUGUAUGGAUUGGAUUGGGUUGGGUUGGGCUCUAACUGUGUUUUUUGUUCACCACUUAGAGCCCUUGCCCUUGGUUUGUAUUGAUGUACAUACAAAUAUAGUAUGCGUAUGAGUUUCCAAGAUUUGAC